GCCGGAGCUUGCUCUGGUGGAUUAGUGGCGAACGGGUGAGUAACACGUGAGUAACCUGCCCCUGACUCUGGGAUAAGCGCUGGAAACGGCGUCUAAUACCGGAUAUGCGCUGUAACCGCAUGGUUUGCAGCGGGAAAGAUUUAUCGGUUGGGGAUGGACUCGCGGCCUAUCAGCUUGUUGGUGAGGUAAUGGCUCACCAAGGCGUCGACGGGUAGCCGGCCUGAGAGGGUGACCGGCCACACUGGGACUGAGACACGGCCCAGACUCCUACGGGAGGCAGCAGUGGGGAAUAUUGCACAAUGGGCGCAAGCCUGAUGCAGCAACGCCGCGUGAGGGAUGACGGCCUUCGGGUUGUAAACCUCUUUUAGCAGGGAAGAAGCCUUCGGGUGACGGUACCUGCAGAAAAAGCGCCGGCUAACUACGUGCCAGCAGCCGCGGUAAUACGUAGGGCGCAAGCGUUAUCCGGAAUUAUUGGGCGUAAAGAGCUCGUAGGCGGUUUGUCACGUCUGCUGUGAAAACUGGAGGCUCAACCUCCAGCCUGCAGUGGGUACGGGCAGACUAGAGUGCGGUAGGGGAGAUUGGAAUUCCUGGUGUAGCGGUGGAAUGCGCAGAUAUCAGGAGGAACACCGAUGGCGAAGGCAGAUCUCUGGGCCGUUACUGACGCUGAGGAGCGAAAGGGUGGGGAGCAAACAGGCUUAGAUACCCUGGUAGUCCACCCCGUAAACGUUGGGAACUAGUUGUGGGGGCUUUUCUACGGUCUCCGUGACGCAGCUAACGCAUUAAGUUCCCCG
rnacentral:rRNA from 1 species